UACGUAGGGCGCAAGCGUUGUCCGGAAUUAUUGGGCGUAAAGAGCUCGUAGGUGGCUUGUCGCGUCUGUCGUGAAAGCCCGGGGCUUAACUCCGGGUCUGCGGUGGAUACGGGCAGGCUAGAGGCAGGUAGGGGAGAAUGGAAUUCCCGGUGUAGCGGUGAAAUACGUAGAGAUUGGGAAGAACACCAGUGGCGAAGGCGGCUAUCUGGACGGUUUCUGACGCUAAGACGCGAAAGCGUGGGGAGCAAACAGG
rnacentral:rRNA from 1 species